CCUACGGGAGGCAGCAGUGGGGAAUAUUGCACAAUGGGGGAAACCCUGAUGCAGCGACGCCGCGUGAAGGAAGAAGUAUUUCGGUAUGUAAACUUCUAUCAGCAGGGAAGAAAAUGACGUUACCUGACUAAGAAGCCCCGGCUAACUACGUGCCAGCCGCCGCGGUAAUACGUAGGGGGCAAGCGUUAUCCGGAUUUACUGGGUGUAAAGGGAGCGGGGGCGGCGAUGCAAGUCAGAAGUGAAAGCCCGGGGCUCAACUCCGGGACUGCGUUUGAAACUGUGUUGCUAGAGUGCAGGAGAGGUAAGUGGAAUUCCUAGUGUAGCGGUGAAAUGCGUAGAUAUUAGGAGGAACACCAGUGGCGAAGGUGGCUUACUGGACUGUAAAUGACGCUGAGGCUCGAAAGCGUGGGGAGCAAACAGGAUUAGAUACCCGGGUAGUC
rnacentral:rRNA from 1 species